AGGGAAUAUUGCACAAUGGAGGAAACUCUGAUGCAGCGACGCCGCGUGAGUGAUGAAGGCCUUCGGGUCGUAAAGCUCUGUCGCAGGGGAAUAACACAAUGAAGGUACCCUGUAAGAAAGGAUCGGCUAACUUCGUGCCAGCAGCCGCGGUAAGACGAGGGAUCCUAGCGUUGUUCGGAAUCAUUGGGCGUAAAGCGGGUGUAGGUGGCUUUGUAAGUCGAGUGUGAAAGCCUGGGGCUCAACCCCAGAAGUGCAUUCGAUACUGCGAAGCUUGAGUGGUAGAGAGGUUAGUAGAAUUGUUGGUGUAGUGGUGAAAUACGUAGAUAUCAACAGGAGUACCGGAGGCGAAGGCGGCUAACUGGCUACACACUGACACUCAGACCCGAAAGUGCGGGGAUCAAAC
rnacentral:rRNA from 1 species